UCAAGCAAGCCUGUUACGAACAAGUGGAAGCUGUGAGGCAGCAGGUGAAGGCCUGGAGCACAAAGACCUGUGCGGACAGCCAGGAGGAGUGCAUGUAUGAGUUGGUGAAGGACUCGGCCUCAUUCCUUAAAAUCAGGCACACGUCGCCCAGCACCCACUCCAUCAGCGAGCUCUUCUUUGAGUUCAAUCCCCCGUCUGCACCCGAAUUCUGCUGUGUGAAGGCAGCUGCCAUCACAAAGUCGUCCAACUCAACCAGCAACAAUUACUGCCAACUCUACAACCUCAUGGCU